rnacentral:snRNA from 1 species
GCGCUCACUUGGGGAGCACGUGUGCACUGAAAUCGGAAUGAUACCGAGAUUAGCAGGGCCCCUGCCCAAGGGUGACACGCAAAUUCCUGAAACGUUCUGUAUUUUA